AGACCCGAAACCCGGUGAUCUAGCCAUGGGCAGGUUGAAGGUUGGGUAACACUAACUGGAGGACCGAACCGACUAAUGUUGAAAAAUUAGCGGAUGACCUGUGGCUGGGGGUGAAAGGCCAAUCAAACCGGGAGAUAGCUGGUUCUCCCCGAAAGCUAUUUAGGUAGCGCCUCGUGAAUUCAUCUCCGGGGGUAGAGCACUGUUUCGGCUAGGGGGCCAUCCCGGCUUACCAACCCGAUGCAAACUGCGAAUACCGGAGAAUGUUAUCACGGGAGACACACGGCGGGUGCUAACGUCCGUCGUGAAGAGGGAAACAACCCAGACCGCCAGCUAAGGUCCCAAAGUCAUGGUUAAGUGGGAAACGAUGUGGGAAGGCCCAGACAGCCAGGAUGUUGGCUUAGAAGCAGCCAUCAUUUAAAGAAAGCGUAAUAGCUCACUGGUCGAGUCGGCCUGCGCGGAAGAUGUAACGGGGCUAAACCAUGCACCGAAGCUGCGGCAGCGAACGUAUCACCCAAGACAACUUUACGGAGUUGACGAUUGACGGAGCGAAGCGACGUCAAAGCGUUCAUUAAAGUCGAGUUGGCUUAGGGAUACGUUCGUUGGGUAGGGGAGCGUUCUGUAAGCCUGUGAAGGUGUGUCGUGAGGCAUGCUGGAGGUAUCAGAAGUGCGAAUGCUGACAUAAGUAACGAUAAAGCGGGUGAAAAGCCCGCUCGCCGGAAGACCAAGGGUUCCUGUCCAACGUUAAUCGGGGCAGGGUGAGUCGACCCCUAAGGCGAGGCCGAAAGGCGUAGUCGAUGGGAAACGGGUUAAUAUUCCCGUACUUGGUGUUACUGCGAAGGGGGGACGGAGAAGGCUAUGUUGGCCGGGCGACGGUUGUCCCGGUUUAAGCGUGUAGGUGUGUGUUCCAGGUAAAUCCGGUUCACUUUAACACUGAGGCGUGACGACGAGGCACUACGGUGCUGAAGCAACAAAUGCCCUGCUUCCAGGAAAAGCCUCUAAGCAUCAGGUAACAUCAAAUCGUACCCCAAACCGACACAGGUGGUCAGGUAGAGAAUACCAAGGCGCUUGAGAGAACUCGGGUGAAGGAACUAGGCAAAAUGGUGCCGUAACUUCGGGAGAAGGCACGCUGACACGUAGGUGAAGUGAUUUACUCAUGGAGCUGAAGUCAGUCGAAGAUACCAGCUGGCUGCAACUGUUUAUUAAAAACACAGCACUGUGCAAACACGAAAGUGGACGUAUACGGUGUGACGCCUGCCCGGUGCCGGAAGGUUAAUUGAU
rnacentral:rRNA from 1 species